rnacentral:rRNA from 1 species
GAUGAACGCUGGCGGCGUGCCUAAUACAUGCAAGUCGAGCGAACAGACGAGGAGCUUGCUCCUCUGACGUUAGCGGCGGACGGGUGAGUAACACGUGGAUAACCUACCUAUAAGACUGGGAUAACUUCGGGAAACCGGAGCUAAUACCGGAUAAUAUAUUGAACCGCAUGGUUCAAUAGUGAAAGACGGUUUUGCUGUCACUUAUAGAUGGAUCCGCGCCGCAUUAGCUAGUUGGUAAGGUAACGGCUUACCAAGGCAACGAUGCGUAGCCGACCUGAGAGGCGGAUAGGCCACCCUGGAACUGGGACACGGUCCAGACUCCUACGGGAGGCAGCAGUAGGGAAUCUGCCGCAAUGGGCGAAAGCCUGACGGAGCAACGCCGCGCGAGUGAUGAAGGUCUUCCGAUCGUAAAACUCUGUUAUUAGGGAAGAACAAAUGUGUAAGUAACUAUGCACGUCUUGACGGUACCUAAUCAGAAAGCCACGGCUAACUACGUG